rnacentral:rRNA from 1 species
CGUUCUGUAAGCCUGUGAAGGUGUGUCGUGAGGCAUGCUGGAGGUAUCAGAAGUGCGAAUGCUGACAUAAGUAACGAUAAAGCGGGUGAAAAGCCCGCUCGCCGGAAGACCAAGGGUUCCUGUCCAACGUUAAUCGGGGCAGGGUGAGUCGACCCCUAAGGCGAGGCCGAAAGGCGUAGUCGAUGGGAAACGGGUUAAUAUUCCCGUACUUGGUGUUACUGCGAAGGGGGGACGGAGAAGGCUAUGUUGGCCGGGCGACGGUUGUCCCGGUUUAAGCGUGUAGGUGUGUGUUCCAGGUAAAUCCGGUUCACUUUAACACUGAGGCGUGACGACGAGGCACUACGGUGCUGAAGCAACAAAUGCCCUGCUUCCAGGAAAAGCCUCUAAGCAUCAGGUAACACGAAAUCGUACCCCAAACCGACACAGGUGGUCAGGUAGAGAAUACCAAGGCGCUUGAGAGAACUCGGGUGAAGGAACUAGGCAAAAUGGUGCCGUAACUUCGGGAGAAGGCACGCUGACACGUAGGUGAAGUGAUUUACUCAUGGAGCUGAAGUCAGUCGAAGAUACCAGCUGGCUGCAACUGUUUAUUAAAAACACAGCACUGUGCAAACACGAAAGUGGACGUAUACGGUGUGACGCCUGCCCGGUGCCGGAAGGUUAAUUGAUGGGGUCAGCGUAAGCGAAGCUCCUGAUCGAAGCCCCGGUAAACGGCGGCCGUAACUAUAACGGUCCUAAGGUAGCGAAAUUCCUUGUCGGGUAAGUUCCGACCUGCACGAAUGGCGUAAUGAUGGCCAGGCUGUCUCCACCCGAGACUCAGUGAAAUUGAACUCGCUGUGAAGAUGCAGUGUACCCGCGGCAAGACGGAAAGACCCCGUGAACCUUUACUAUAGCUUGACACUGAACAUUGAGCCUUGAUGUGUAGGAUAGGUGGGAGGCUUUGAAGUGUGGACGCCAGUCUGCAUGGAGCCGACCUUGAAAUACCACCCUUUAAUGUUUGAUGUUCUAACGUGGACCCGUAAUCCGGGUUGCGGACAGUGUCUGGUGGGUAGUUUGACUGGGGCGGUCUCCUCCUAAAGAGUAACGGAGGAGCACGAAGGUUGGCUAAUCCUGGUCGGACAUCAGGAGGUUAGUGCAAUGGCAUAAGCCAGCUUGACUGCGAGCGUGACGGCGCGAGCAGGUGCGAAAGCAGGUCAUAGUGAUCCGGUGGUUCUGAAUGGAAGGGCCAUCGCUCAACGGAUAAAAGGUACUCCGGGGAUAACAGGCUGAUACCGCCCAAGAGUUCAUAUCGACGGCGGUGUUUGGCACCUCGAUGUCGGCUCAUCACAUCCUGGGGCUGAAGUAGGUCCCAAGGGUAUGGCUGUUCGCCAUUUAAAGUGGUACGCGAGCUGGGUUUAGAACGUCGUGAGACAGUUCGGUCCCUAUCUGCCGUGGGCGCUGGAGAACUGAGGGGGGCUGCUCCUAGUACGAGAGGACCGGAGUGGACGCAUCACUGGUGUUCGGGUUGUCAUGCCAAUGGCACUGCCCGGUAGCUAAAUGCGGAAGAGAUAAGUGCUGAAAGCAUCUAAGCACGAAACUUGCCCCGA